UCAAGUGUUCGGUGUAUACUGUGUACAAGGCACUAUACAAGUGCUAUGGAGUUUACAAGGAUGAAUAAACUAUAGAUUUUACCCUCAAAUAACUUAGAUUCUAGUGAGGCUGGCACAUCCACACCCGUCAAUACACAGCUGAAAGGUGUCGUUAGACAAACAGUUAAUGUAUGUGGGAGUUCACAGGAAGAUCACUUUAAGCCCAGUGAUGGGAAAAACUCUAAUGAAGGGAAUUAAUUGCCUGCUUUGUGCAUUAAUUAGUCACAUAUGAGUGCCUCAAGCUGCCCUGGGGUCCUCUUUCCACAGAGGCUUGUGUGAUGUGUUCAUGAGAAAAUACUUUAAAUUAAGCUAAAAUGAACAAUUCAGAUUAAACUUGUUUUGGCCCACAUCCCAUACUUACCUUGGCCAUAAAAAGGAAAAAAAAGCAAGGCGGUGGAAAGAAGAAAAGAAAGAAAAAUGAUAAGGUAUUAUCCUCCCCUCAGUGCUGUGUUGCCUUGGCACCCAGCCUUGCAUCCUGUUUUCCGACCUUCUCGUUGGCUGUGGAAUCAGGUAGGUGUGUGAGAAGAUUGGUUUAGAUUCUACAAGAAGUAGUCAGAGGCCUUGAAAAUAAGUUGAUUAUACCACAGUGGCUCACACCUGUAAUCCCAGUACUUUGGGAGGCCGGGCCAGAGGAUCACUUGAGGUCAGGAGCUCGAGACCAGCCCGGCUAACAUAGCAAAACUCUGUCUCUACUAAAAAAUACAAAAAUUAGCUGGGUGUGGUGGUUGGCACCUGUAAUCCCAGCUAUUCAGGAGGCUGAGGCAGGAGAAUCGAUUGAACCUGGGAGGCAGAGGUUGCAGUGAGCCAAGAUUGAGCCAAUGCACUCCAGCCUGGGCAACAGAGCGAGACCAAAAAAGUUGAUUAAAACCUUUUUUCACACUGAAAACAAUUAGUUUUGCCAUUCUUUGUUGUCUUUACUUUUGUGCAUCUUCCCUGAAAAUAUACUGCAGCAUUCUACUUUUUUCUUUUUGCUGCAGGUAUCUGAUGAGCUUUGGGAAACUCUCUUAUUUUAACCACUGAGGAAAGGAAAAGCAGCUGCUGUGGUGGAAC
rnacentral:lncRNA from 1 species